UACGUAGGGGGCGAGCGUUGUCCGGAGUUACUGGGCGUAAAGCGCACGCAGGCGGUCUGUUACGUUUGGAGUGACAGUUGGUGGCUUAACUGCCAAAGUGCUUCGAAAACUGACAGACUUGAGGGCUUCAGAGGGACACGGAAUUCCGGGUGGAGUGGUGAAAUGCGUAGAGAUCCGGAGGUACACCAAAGGCGAAGGCAGUGUCCUGGGGAGUACCCGACGCUCAGGUGCGAAAGCCAGGGGAGCGAACGGG
rnacentral:rRNA from 1 species